rnacentral:rRNA from 1 species
GAUGAACGCUGGCGGCGUGCCUAAUACAUGCAAGUCGAGCGAACAGACGAGAAGCUUGCUUCUCUGAUGUUAGCGGCGGACGGGUGAGUAACACGUGGAUAACCUACCUAUAAGACUGGGAUAACUUCGGGAAACCGUAGCUAAUACCGGAUAAUAUUUUGAACCGCAUGGUUCAAAAGUGAAAGACGGUCUUGCUGUCACUUAUAGAUGGAUCCGCGCUGCAUUAGCUAGUUGGUAAGGUAACGGCUUACCAAGGCGACGAUGCAUAGCCGACCUGAGAGGGUGAUCGGCCACACUGGAACUGAGACACGGUCCAGACUCCUACGGGAGGCAGCAGUAGGGAAUCUUCCGCAAUGGGCGAAAGCUUGACGGAGCAACGCCGCGUGAGUGAUGAAGGUCUUCGGAUCGUAAAACUCUGUUAUUAGGGAAGAACAUAUGUGUAAGUAACUAUGCACAUCUUGACGGUACCUAAUCAGAAAGCCACGGCUAACUACGUG